AUUGAACGCUGGCGGCGUGCCUAACACAUGCAAGUCGAGCGGUAACAGGUGUAGCAAUACAUGCUGACGAGCGGCGGACGGGUGAGUAACGCUUGGGAAUCUGCCUAUUAGUGGGGGACAACCCGGGGAAACUCGGGCUAAUACCGCAUACGCUCUACGGAGGAAAGCCGGGGACCGCAAGGCCUGGCGCUAAUAGAUGAGCCCAAGUCGGAUUAGCUAGUUGGUAGGGUAANGGCCUACCAAGGCGACGAUCCGUAACUGGUCUGAGAGGACGACCAGUCACACCGGAACUGAGACACGGUCCGGACUCCUACGGGAGGGCAGCAGUGGGGAAGUAUUGGACAAUGGGCGAAAGCCUGAUCCAGCGACGCCGCGUGGGUGAAGAAGGCCUGCGGGUUGUAAAGCCCUUUCAGUGGGGAAGAAAGCCUCGACCUAACACGUCGGGGUCUUGACGUACCCAUAGAAGAAGCACCGGCUAACUCUGUGCCAGCCGCCGCGGU
rnacentral:rRNA from 1 species